CAGAAGCCAAGAAGUGGCAGAACACACCCAGAGUUACUACUGGACCCACCCCUUUCAGCACCAUGCCAAACGCAGCAGCCGUUGCCAUGGCUGCAACACUUACACAGCAGCAACAGCCUGCUACAGGGCCACAGCCAUCUCUGGGAGUUAGUUUUGGAACGCCAUUCGGCUCAGGUAUUGGCACUGGCUUGCAAUCAAGUGGCUUAGGUUCUUCAAACCUUGGAGGAUUUGGAACUAGCUCUGGUUUUGGAUGCAGCACCACAGGGGCCUCCACAUUUGGAUUUGGAACAACAAAUAAACCCUCAGGAAGUCUUAGUGCAGGCAACAGAUCACAGGUUUUAACUGAAUUUCGAAAACCCAGUGUUACAGAAACCAAUGAAAUAGGAAGAAAAAUCCAGUUCUGAGCAGUCCUUGAAUCAACAAAUAUCUACCUUUAAGGAACUUCUAAUUCUCAUUUUGUAAAUCCCAUUAUUCAAGAAAAGCACAUUAAGCUUAGAGUAGGUUUGGUCAAGAUGUUUAGAAUUAAGGAAAUAAAACUUGCCUUUGGUGUUUAAGGACAA
rnacentral:sRNA from 1 species